CCUACGGGUGGCAGCAGUGAGGAAUAUUGGUCAAUGGGCGCAAGCCUGAACCAGCCAAGUAGCGUGAAGGAUGACUGCCCUACGGGUUGUAGACUUCUUUUGUCAGGGAAUAAAGUGCGGCACGCGUGCGUUUUUGUGUGUACUUUGUGAAUAAGGAUCGGCUAACUCCGUGCCAGCAGCCGCGGUAAUACGGAGGAUCCGAGCGUUAUCCGGAUUUAUUGGGUUUAAAGGGGGCGUAGAUGGGUUGUUAAGUCAGUUGUGAAAGUUUGCGGCUCAACCGUAAAAUUGCAAUUGAUACUGGCAGUCUUGAGUACAGUUGAGGUAGGCGGAAUUCGUGGUGUAGCGGUGAAAUGCUUAGAUAUCACGAAGAACUCCGAUUGCGAAGGCAGCUUACUAAACUGCCACUGACAUUGAUGCUCGAAAGUGUGGGUAUCAAACAGGAUUAGAUACCCUUGUAGUC
rnacentral:rRNA from 1 species